ACAUUGGGAACCGAUGCUAAUACCGGAUGUGCCGAGAGGUGAAAGGCUUGCUGCCUGAAGAAGAGCUCGCGUCUGAUUAGCUAGUUGGUGGUGUAAGGGACUACCAAGGCGACGAUCAGUAGCUGGUCUGAGAGGAUGAUCAGCCACACUGGAACUGAGACACGGUCCAGACUCCUACGGGAGGCAGCAGUGGGGAAUUUUCCGCAAUGGGCGAAAGCCUGACGGAGCAAUACCGCGUGAGGGAGGAAGGCUCUUGGGUUGUAAACCUCUUUUCUCAAGGAAGAAGUAAUGACGGUACUUGAGGAAUCAGCAUCGGCUAACUCCGUGCCAGCAGCCGCGGUAAUACGGAGGAUGCAAGCGUUAUCCGGAAUGAUUGGGCGUAAAGCGUCCGCAGGUGGUUGUGUGUGUCUAUUGUCAAAGCAUCAUGCUUAACAUGAUAAAGGCAGUAGAAACUACACGACUAGAGUGCGUUCGGGGCAGAGGGAAUUCCUGGUGUAGCGGUGAAAUGCGUAGAGAUCAGGAAGAACACCGGUGGCGAAAGCGCUCUGCUAGGCCGCAACUGACACUGAGGGACGAAAGCUAGGGGAGCGAAUGGGAUUA
rnacentral:rRNA from 1 species